rnacentral:rRNA from 1 species
AGGCGAUGAUGCAUAGCCGAGUUGAGAGACUGAUCGGCCACAAUGGAACUGAGACACGGUCCAUACUCCUACGGGAGGCAGCAGUAGGGAAUCUUCCACAAUGGGCGCAAGCCUGAUGGAGCAACACCGCGUGAGUGAAGAAGGGUUUCGGCUCGUAAAGCUCUGUUGUUGGAGAAGAACGUGCGUGAGAGUAACUGUUCACGCAGUGACGGUAUCCAACCAGAAAGUCACGGCUAACUACGUGCCAGCAGCCGCGGUAAUACGUAGGUGGCAAGCGUUAUCCGGAUUUAUUGGGCGUAAAGCGAGCGCAGGCGGUUGCUUAGGUCUGAUGUGAAAGCCUUCGGCUUAACCGAAGAAGUGCAUCGGAAACCGGGCGACUUGAGUGCAGAAGAGGACAGUGGAACUCCAUGUGUAGCGGUGGAAUGCGUAGAUAUAUGGAAGAACACCAGUGGCGAAGGCGGCUGUCUGGUCUGCAACUGACGCUGAGGCUCGAAAGCAUGGGUAGCGAACAGGAUUAGAUACCCUGGUAGUCCAUGCCGUAAACGAUGAGUGCUAGGUGUUGGAGGGUUUCCGCCCUUCAGUGCC